rnacentral:rRNA from 1 species
AUUGAACGCUGGCGGCAGGCCUAACACAUGCAAGUCGAACGAGUGGCGGACGGGUGAGUAAUGUCUGGGAAACUGCCUGAUGGAGGGGGAUAACUACUGGAAACGGUAGCUAAUACCGCAUACCAUCAGAUGUGCCCAGAUGGGAUUAGCUUGUUGGUGGGGUAACGGCUCACCACGGCGACGAUCCCUAGCUGGUCUGAGAGGAUGACCAGCCAACCUGGAAAUGAGACACGGUCCAGACCCCGACGGGAGGCAGCAGGGGGGAAUAUUGCACAAUGGGCGCAAGCCGGAGGAAGCCAGGCCGCGUGUAUGAAGAAGGCCGUCGGGUUGUAAAGUACUUUCAGCGGGGAGGAGUUACCCGAACAUGAAGCGCCGGCUAACUCCGUGCCAGCAGCAGCGGUAAUUC